UACGUAGGGGGCUAGCGUUGUCCGGAAUCAUUGGGCGUAAAGAGCGUGUAGGCGGCCCGGUAAGUCCGCUGUGAAAGUCAAAGGCUCAACCUUUGAAUGUCAGCGGAUACUGCCGGGCUAGAGUCCGGAAGAGGCGAGUGGAACUCCUGGUGUAGCGGUGGAAUGCGCAGAUAUCAGGAAGAACACCAACGGCGAAGGCAGCUCGCUGGGACGGUACUGACGCUGAGGUGCGAAAGCGUGGGGAUCAAACAGG
rnacentral:rRNA from 1 species